rnacentral:rRNA from 1 species
AUUGAACGCUGGCGGCAUGCCUUACACAUGCAAGUCGAACGGUAACGGGCCUUCGGGUGCCGACGAGUGGCGAACGGGUGAGUAAUACAUCGGAACGUGCCCGAUCGUGGGGGAUAGCGAGGCGAAAGCUUUGCUAAUACCGCAUACGAUCUACGGAUGAAAGCAGGGGACCGCAAGGCCUUGCGCGGACGGAGCGGCCGAUGGCAGAUUAGGUAGUUGGUGGGAUAAAAGCUUACCAAGCCGACGAUCUGUAGCUGGUCUGAGAGGAUGAUCAGCCACACUGGGACUGAGACACGGCCCAGACUCCUACGGGAGGCAGCAGUGGGGAAUUUUGGACAAUGGGCGCAAGCCUGAUCCAGCCAUGCCGCGUGCAGGAUGAAGGCCUUCGGGUUGUAAACUGCUUUUGUACGGAACGAAAAGCCUUCUUUUAAUACAGGAGGGUCAUGACGGUACCGUAAGAAUAAGCACCGGCUAACUACGU